UCACUUUUAGUAAGUUUUAACAAUGAAACUAACAGUUAUAAGAAAAUAAUUGCUGUAUUGUUUUGUAGCAAAGCUUUUGUUAAAUUACUCGUAACAUAGCUUUCACAGAAAUCAUUAAAGAAAUUAUGAUGAACAAAAGCCUAGUGUUAGAAGUGCUGUCGAUGGAGUUCAGAACAGGUUGUCCAUGGGAGUUAUUGUAUGCAGAUGAUUUGGUUCUCAUAGCAGAGUCGAUGGAAGAAUUAGUUGAAAAGUUUGAGAAGUGCAAGAAAGGACUAGAAGAGAAAGGACUAAGGGUGAACACAGCAAAGUCUAAAGUCAUGAUUAGUAGCAUUGCAGCCAAGUGUGACCUUGUAGUUGGAAAGUGCCCUUGUGGAAUUUGCAGGAAGGGGUUGGUAGUAACUCAAUUUUUUGUCAGACUUGCAAGAAUUGGGUACAUAAGAAGUGCAGUAGUAUUGGUGGAAGGUUAACAGCUGACAUUCAGUUUGUAUGCAAGCAUUGCAAAGGUGAGAUUAUAGAGAAUGAAGUAUUUCCAGCUUUAAUAAUGUACAAUAGUGGCUCGUUAGAGAUAGUUGAGAACUUCUGUUACUUAGGUGAUAUGUUGGGCAGUGAAGGGGUGUUGGAAGAAGUGUUACUUGAAGGAUAGGUUCUGCUUGGAAAAAGUUCAGAGAGUUACUUCCUUUGUUGACUAGCAGAGUCUUGUCAAUUGAAGUAAAAGGUAGGUUGUAUGAGGCCUGUGUAAGAAGUGUUAUGUUGUACGGUAGUGAGACAUGGGCAGUGAAGCAGGAAGAUCUUGACCGUUUAGAAAGGAAUGAUAUGAGAAUGGUUAGGUGGAUGUGUAACGCCAGUCUGAGAGACAGAAAGAGUUCAGAUGAGCUAAGAAACAGGCUAAGUAUCCGUAGAGUUAAAGAUAAGAAGAUUGAAUUAGCUGGGGCACUUGGAAAGCAUGGAGGAGGAUAAUUGGGUAAGAAAGUGUAGAAAAUUGAUAGUUCCUGGGGCAAAGCCUUGUAACAGGACGACGGUUGGAAGAAGGCGGUUGAAGAGAAAGGAGUUAAUAAAGUUUGUAUAUUUAUCUAGUAAAUCUUAUCAAAAACAGUUCUUUUAAGAACUUCGCUAUCACAUAGUAAGUUUAUUUUAAUUUUAUAUAGUUUCUUGAAUCAUUUGUGCUGAAUUUUUGAGUAUUUUUGUGGUGAAUCUUUUUUGUCGGGGUGCCAUUGUUCGAGCCUAUGCAGGUUUUUACGGGCGAGUACUUGAUUUUUUUUUUAAAUGUUGAACCCUCCCGAAACACCCUCACCUUUUACGCCGGAUGUGGCUUAUCGACACGCUCGUUACAUUGGCUGUGCUGCAUAUGUUCCCCAACAAGAAAGUUGGAAUUGAAGUGUGGCUGAAUACACUCAUUCAUAGUGCCGUGUUUUUCCUGUGAGCGCAUCAUACAACAUUAUGUAAUGCUAUCCCUAAAAGAUGCAUGCGCAGAAAUGGAGGUAGCGAAAAUAUUAGUGCAAAAAAAAACAUGGCUAGCAGAGCGAAAAAAGGAAAAAACGACUAAAUGUUUGAUUAACCAGAGUUUAUGUCAUCAUUCGUGCUCGUGAAAAGCACCGUUCGCUAGGGCAUAUGUUAUGGUUUAUGGUUAUAGCAUAGAUUAGAUGUUUACUUCGCGUGAUCAGUUUCUGAAAAUUACUAUGCUAAACAAACAUAAAAGUGACAACAAAGAUUGCGCAUAGAUGCUGUGCUUGGAGCGGUACGCAAAAGAAGCCAAGCUUUGAAUGCAUGUUUUAUUUGUGUGAAUGUUAAAAUAAAAUUGUGCCAGUGCAGCAUGGUAUAAACCCUCUACACCCCUCAGCCUUUUUGUGACCCUCUGCUCCUCCUGCUGGUGGGCGUACUAUGUUUAAAACACCUAGCUAGCUAGCUAGCUAGCUACAAAAAAAACAGACUUUUCUUCCAGCGUCAACAAAGGUACUAUACGCAGUAAUUACAAAGAAAUUGUUCCUAUUUCUUAACUAAUAUGACUGGAAGGUAUAAAGAAGUCGGCAUAACACAAAAAAAAGAUGCAGACUGACAGGAAAUUAAAAACAUUUCCACCAUUUUAAACAAUCCUUCUAAAAACUGAUGAAACGGCAACCGAGAAAGGUCAUAUCUCAUUUGUUCGAAAUUGCACACGUGUUCAUUAACUUGAUUGGUCCAAGUAUUACCGGCUGAGGCAUGUUCCAGUCCUUUAAAUUUUGAAUCACAACAAUAACAAUAACAAAAAAAAUUGAACAAAGGCAGAAAAAACACGAGCUACAGCUGACUUAGGUCAACUUUUAUAUCUGAAAACUUUACAAUAAACUCUAACACAAUUAGCUCAUUCUAGAUCUAUAUUAGCGAAGUAUAACGGAAUGGCGGAUGGUGAAAGUACAUUUAACCCAAAGAAUCCAAACAAUUUCAAUGUAGAAGCACAGUUUUUAUUGAUUCCUGGAUUCUUGAUUUUAGCAAUAGUUGUUUAUCUGAUAUAUCGAUUACUGAAUAGUUACAAACAAAAGGAGCUUGAACGACUCGAGAAAAAACGAAAACGAGAAGAACGGAAGAAGAAAUGAAUUAGAAAUAUAAAUAUUUUUUAACUUUAUCCGUGUUUAUACAUCCAAUACUUCUUCAAUAAUGCUAUCAACAGUCUUUCGUGAUAGUAAGUAAUUGUGAAUCAUAUUACACACCAUUUUCUUUUGGCUAAAGUUUUCUUUAAUCUCAAAUUAUUGCCUUCCUGUUACUCUGAGAUGUAUACUUAGGAUAAAAUGUGAAUAUGUAUGGGAAUAAUUUGAUUUAAUAUUAUUAUAAA